rnacentral:rRNA from 1 species
GACAGAGGCCUCGAGCGUUAGGCGGAAUCACUGGGCUUAAAGCGUGUGUAGGCGGACCUCUAAGUACCUUGUGAAAUCCCACGGCUCACCCGUGGAACCGCUGGGUAUACUGGGGGUCUUGGGCCACCCAGGGGCGACUGGAACAAGCGGUGGAGCGGUGAAAUGCGUAGAUAUCGCUUGGAACGCCGAAGGUGAAAACAGGUCGCUGGGAGUGCGCCGACGCUGAGACACGAAAGCCAGGGGAGCAAACGGG